CCCUUAGAUGUUCUGGGCCGCACGCGCGCUACACUGACGAAGUCAGCGAGCAUGUCCUACGCCGACAGGUGCGGGGAAUCUUGUCAAACUUCGUCGUGAUGGGGAUUGAUUAUUGAAAUUCUUGAUCAUCAACGAGGAAUUCCUAGUAAGCGCAAGUCAGCAGCUUGCGUUGAUUACGUCCCUGCCCUUUGUACACACCGCCCGUCGCUACCACCGAUUGAAUGGUUUAGUGAGAUCUUCGGAUUGGCGCCACUGCGGCUCAGCAAUGGGCUCGGUGGAUGCCGAAAAGUUGAUCAAACUUGAUCAUUUAGAGGAAGUAAAAGUCGUAACA
rnacentral:rRNA from 1 species